GAUGAACGCUGGCGGCGUGCCUAAUACAUGAAAGUCGAGCGAAGCGGGGACGGGUGAGUAACACGUUGAUAACCUCCUAUAAGACUGGGAUAACUUCGGGAAACCGGAGCUAAACCGGAUACUUAUAUAUGGAUCCGGGCUGCAUUAGCUAGUUGGUAAGGUAACGGCUUACCAAUGCAACGAUCCAUAGCCGACCUGAGAGUGUGAUAGGCCACACGGCGACUGAGUAACGGUUGAGACUGCGACGGGAGGCUGGAGUAGGGAAUCUGCCGCAAUGGUCGUAAUCCUGACGGCGGAACGCGGCUGGAGUGAUGCAGGUCUUCGGGUCUUAAAACUCGGGUAGUAGGGAAGCGGUACCUAACCAGAAAGCCACGGCUAACAUCCUGCCUGCAGCCGCGGUAAUAC
rnacentral:rRNA from 1 species